CAGAAGAGCAUCAACAGAACUGAUCUGACUUAGAAAGCAUGGACAGACACUUGGUGCUGAUAUUAAUCAUGAUUUCGGGUGGAAUGGCUGCAGACCAGAUUGGGCCAAACAAGGGUGCAAAUGUCAUCAGUACAGAAGGAGAGUCUGUGACACUGAGUUGCUCAUAUGAUACAAGCAGCAGAUAUGUUGCACUUUACUGGUACAGACAGUAUCUUAAUAGAGAACCUCAGUAUUUAAUGUGGAAAGAUGCUCGGGAAUGGAGUGAUACUGGGAGCCCAGCUGAACCUCGCUUUCAGUCGACUACAUCAGAAACAUCCACUGAACUCACUAUUACUGGUGUAACUCUGUCAGAUUCAGCUCUCUAUUAUUGUGCUCUAAGAGUUGGAGCCCAGUGA